UCUGAUAACUUGCCUAAACUGGAAGAGAACUUGAAGAGAAGGGCAAAAGACAGAUUUCUGUUGAAACCACUGUAAUUUUAAUGAAUAAGUGAAACAAUGGUGAGCAGGUCAGGGCCUUUCUAGCAUCAACUGAAUCUUUGGAAGGAACUACAACUUAAACCUGCUCUGUCUGAACUUCCAGAGUGAUUCUCCUCAUCAGUUAUUCAAGACCCCAGGAAGAUGGAAGCUUCAUUUUGACAUAAGCUCUGGAGAACUGGGGAAGGAGGCAGCUUGAGGAACAGCACACAGGCUCAUUGCUACUUCCCUUGAAGGACUCCUUUCAGCAUUUCUUAUAAGACAAGACAGUGGUAAUAAACUCACUCAAGUUUUGUUUUACUGGGAAGUCUUUAUCUGAUGUUCAUUUUUGAAGGACAGCUUUGCCAGACCUCAGCCAAUAGCAAGCCUACCAGUGGCAAAACUGCUUGGAUAUCAGCUAUCUACAGACAUAUGAAUGAGCCUGUCCAAGAAUAUCAGAGAAACUACAUAGCUGUGUCCAGCCCCAUUUACAGAUAGACAAAUUUGUAAGCUAAAAAACUGGUGUUUUAAACAUUAAGUUUUAUGAUAGUUUGCUACAUACCAAUAGAUAAUAAAAAGCAUUA